GACAGAGGGUGCAAACGUUGUUCGGAAUUACUGGGCGUAAAGCGCGUGUAGGCGGCAAGGCAAGUCGGAUGUGAAAGCCCGCGGCUCAACCGUGGAAGUGCACUCGAAACUGCCUAGCUAGAGUCUCGGAGAGGAAGGUGGAAUGCUUGGUGUAGAGGUGAAAUUCGUAGAUAUCAGGUGGAACACCAGUGGCGAAGGCGGCUUUCUGGACGAUUACUGACGCUGAGACGCGAAAGCGUGGGGAGCAAACAGG
rnacentral:rRNA from 1 species